UACGUAGGGGGCAAGCGUUGUCCGGAAUCAUUGGGCGUAAAGAGCGUGUAGGCGGCCCGAUAAGUCCGCUGUGAAAGUCCAGGGCUCAACCCUGGAAUGCCGGUGGAUACUGUCGGGCUCGAAUCCGGAAGAGGCGAGUGGAAUUCCCGGUGUAGCGGUGAAAUGCGCAGAUAUCGGGAGGAACACCAAUGGCGAAGGCAGCUCGCUGGGACGUUACUGACGCUGAGACGCGAAAGCGUGGGGAGCAAACAGG
rnacentral:rRNA from 1 species